GGGGCCGUAGCUCAGUUGGGAGAGCGCGACGUUCGCAAUGUCGAGGUCAGGGGUUCGACUCCCCUCGGCUCCACCA
rnacentral:tRNA from 1 species